GGCCUCCCACUUGUACCUUGGAACUACUCAAAGUCAUUACUGACCACACUUCAGAUUUAGCCAUUAUCAAGAUAAAGAGGAAGUUGUCUUAUGGAUGAAUACUGUUGGUCCCUACCAUAAUCGUCAAGAAACAUAUAAGUACUUUUCACUUCCAUUCUGUGUGGGGUCAAAAAAAAGUAUCAGUCAUUACCAUGAAACUCUGGGAGAAGCACUUCAAGGGGUUGAAUUGGAAUUUAGUGGUCUGGAUAUUAAAUUUAAAGAUGAUGUGAUGCCAGCCACUUACUGUGAAAUUGAUUUAGAUAAAGAAAAGAGAGAUGCAUUUGUAUAUGCCAUAAAAAAUCAUUACUGGUACCAGAUGUACAUAGAUGAUUUACCAAUAUGGGGUAUUGUUGGUGAGGCUGAUGAAAAUGGAGAAGAUUACUAUCUUUGGACCUACAAAAAACUUGAAAUAGGUUUUAAUGGAAAUCGAAUUGUUGAUGUUAAUCUAACUAGUGAAGGAAAGGUGAAACUGGUUCCAAAUACUAAAAUCCAGAUGUCAUAUUCAGUAAAAUGGAAAAAGUCAGAUGUGAAAUUUGAAGAUCGAUUUGACAAAUAUCUUGAUCCGUCCUUUUUUCAACAUCGGAUUCAUUGGUUUUCAAUUUUCAACUCCUUCAUGAUG
rnacentral:sRNA from 1 species